AGCGGCGGACGGGUGAGUAAUGCCUAGGAAUCUGCCUGGUAGUGGGGGAUAACGCUCGGAAACGGACGCUAAUACCGCAUACGUCCUACGGGAGAAAGCAGGGGACCUUCGGGCCUUGCGCUAUCAGAUGAGCCUAGGUCGGAUUAGCUAGUUGGUGAGGUAAUGGCUCACCAAGGCGACGAUCCGUAACUGGUCUGAGAGGAUGAUCAGUCACACUGGAACUGAGACACGGUCCAGACUCCUACGGGAGGCAGCAGUGGGGAAUAUUGGACAAUGGGCGAAAGCCUGAUCCAGCCAUGCCGCGUGUGUGAAGAAGGUCUUCGGAUUGUAAAGCACUUUAAGUUGGGAGGAAGGGCAGUUACCUAAUACGUGAUUGUUUUGACGUUACCGACAGAAUAAGCACCGGCUAACUCUGUGCCAGCAGCCGCGGUAAUACAGAGGGUGCAAGCGUUAAUCGGAAUUACUGGGCGUAAAGCGCGCGUAGGUGGUUUGUUAAGUUGAAUGUGAAAUCCCCGGGCUCAACCUGGGAACUGCAU
rnacentral:rRNA from 1 species